rnacentral:misc_RNA from 1 species
GUAACAAGGUUUCCGUAGGUGAACCUGCGGAAGGAUCAUUACCGAGUGAGGGCCCUCUGGGUCCAACCUCCCACCCAUGUUUAUUGUACCUUGUUGCUUCGGCGGGCCCGCCUCACGGCCGCCGGGGGGCUUCUGCCCUCUGGCCCGCGCCCGCCGAAGACACCAUUGAACACUGUCUGAAGAUUGCAGUCUGAGCAAUUAGCUAAAUAAGUUAAAACUUUCAACAACGGAUCUCUUGGUUCCGGCAUCGAUGAAGAACGCAGCGAAAUGCGAUACGUAAUGUGAAUUGCAGAAUUCAGUGAAUCAUCGAGUCUUUGAACGCACAUUGCGCCCCUUGGUAUUCCGGGGGGCAUGCCUGUCCGAGCGUCAUUGCUGCCCUCAAGCACGGCUUGUGUGUUGGACCCCGUCCUCCUUCCCGGGGGACGGGCCCGAAAGGCAGCGGCGGCACCGCGUCCGGUCCUCGAGCGUAUGGGGCUUUGUCACCCGCUCUUGUAGGCCCGGCCGGCGCUUGCCGACAACCAUCAAUCUUUUUUCAGGUUGACCUCGGAUCAGGUAGGGAUACCCGCUGAACUUAAGCAUAUCA